rnacentral:lncRNA from 1 species
CCCUGCAGCAGGAUGACUUUGAGUUGAAUAUCUAGGUGCAUCGUUGUGUUGUUAAUUUCUCCGUUUUCUCCUCUGUGGCCACUGUACUUUGGUAUAGGGCUGUCAGAAAGAAAAACACAUGGCAUAGGCUUAGCAUCGGGCUGAAGCCUAACUAAGCAGCACUGCCAGACAUCAGCAUACAUCAUUACUGUAAUAGUUAUGUUUAAAUGUGUGGUGGUGCCAUUGAAGUUAAGCUCAAAGUUAGCUAUGAAAAUACUGUGUAGAAAAGGUUGAAAUAUUGACAUUUCUAAAGAAAAAAAAAUGUAGUAGAACUGUACCUUCAGUAGUCUUCAGAAUUAUUUUAAUUCGCUUUACCUACUUCCUAAUUUGCUAGCUGCCUAUUUCUUUUUUUAUUAUACCAGAUAUUUUUAAACUAGGCUCUAUUUAAAGCGUCAAGAUAGGCAAAGAGUGGAAAAUCAUUACCGGAACGCUUGGUUGUGGAAAAAAAAAAAAGAUUUGCAUCUUCUAUUUUUCUUAUUUCUUCCUUCAAGGGAUAGUGUUAACAACUUUUCAGAAAUUCUAAUAAUGUUCCUGGCCAAUUCAGCGUUGAUAGGGUAUAAUAACUAUUUCAUGGAUCAUAGAAUAAGGAAAUCUCAUGCUUUUUUUUUCCCCCCAUGGGACUACAUGCCCAUUUUAAAAACAAAGUAGAAAAAGUGCCUUUUAAAUGGACACGGGAUUGAAAGAAACCAAUUUCCACCUCUAAAAGUCAUAACAGAAAAAAUAUCAUCACUAAACCAUGGUCAGACAUUUUGAAUGUGGCUCCUCUACUGUCAUUUGGAACAGGAAUUGGCAAAGCUGCCACAUCCAGAAUGACUGACCAUGGUUUAUUGUUUCAAAAAAAAAGUAAAAAAAAAAAAAAAAAAAAAAAAAGUCUUAGCAUUAAUUCUUCAACCAUUGAUAUGGUCUAGAUUCAUAACAACUUGUUAUUAUAUGUGAUAGUUAUAUUAUUCUUCCCAACGAUGGUUCUCAUGUAUUAUAAAUUCAUGCUCCCCCACCCCCAAAAUUCAUGUCCUUUGCCUUGUAACUUCCCAUGCCUCACUAGGUGGAAUAUACCACCCUGUCACAUCGUUAGCUUGCUUAAAUGACUUGAUUUGACCAAUAGAAUGUGAAUAAGUGUGCUGUACUUCUGAGCAGAAACUGUAAAUGCAUUUGGAUGGUUCAGUUUGGGCUCUUAUGCUCAUGUCUCUGUCAUGAGAACAGUACUACAGAUAAGGGCAGCUCUUUUAGACUGGGCCCCUUAGCCUUGGAUGUGAAGAUAUGCAGAGCAAAACUGAACCGAUCUAAACAAAGUUCACUAGAGCCAUUAUUAACUGACACACCCAUGAGCCAAAAAUAAAUGUCUGAUGCUGAAAGCCACUGAGACUUAGGGGAUGUAUGUUACCCCAGCAAAAAUGAUUAAUCAACCAUAACCACUGGAAAAAAAAAAAAA